GAAUAGGGGAAUUUUCGGCAAUACUCGAGCGUGGCAGUUUAAGAUAUGAGAGAUACCUUAGACCUAAUAGAAUAACCUUGUAAAGUAUUUAGCUCUAUAUGUAGUGACGCGCGCCUAGGAUAGACGAUCAGAUUAGUAAAAAAAAAUGGAUAGUCUGAAAUACUCGAGCGCCUCAGAUUAAGAUAUUGGGGGUUGAUUUUAGUGUUUAAAGACUAAAUUUAACUAAUCUGACGAUAAGUCCUUGACGCCGCCGAGUUAUAGGGUCGCGAACUUGUAAAAAAAAAACGUUAAUCCGGCAUUCUCGAGCGCGAUUUUUUUAUUUUUUAUUUUGAAGAAUAUAAUCUAAAACUUACUAAAAAUACAAAAUCUGCCGGUUUCCGCAUGACCGGAAGUGUGGAGGAGCCAUUUCGUCUUCCUAAGAACGCGUUGCGGCAUAUAAGUCGCGAACGAUACAUUUUACAAAAAAAAAGUUUAAAUAAACAAAAAAGGUAAUUUUAUUUUACACAAAAAAGGUCUCUUUACAUUUUUUAAAAAAAAAAAAAAAAAAAAAGAAACCAAAAAACCUUUUUCGGUCAGAUUAAGAGAACCCACCAACAUUUUUGUCAGAUUAAAAAAAUAUGCUUUCAGGAUACCGAGAUAAACCUCCCCUAUGAAAAUCUGACGCGCUCGAGUAUUUCAAAAAAACUUUUUUUUUUUGCAUUUUCAAAAAUUCAUCGUAACUUAUCGUCACGCCGAAAUCGUCAGUUUUUUUAAAGGAAGCUUCCUUGGGGCCUACUUAACACCCCUUCCGAAAAUCUGACGCGCUCGAGUAAUUUUUUUUUUUUUGCAUUUUUGA